rnacentral:rRNA from 1 species
GGACCCGACUGCUAUCAAAGUGGGACUAACCCAUGCGAGUCAACAUAGCAAUAUGUGGCAUACGGCUCAGUAACACGUAGUCAACAUGCCCAGGGGACGUGGAUAACCUCGGGAAACUGAGGAUAAACCGCGAUAGGUCAUCACUUCUGGAAUGGGUAAUGACUUAAACCUAUAUGGCCCCUGGAUUGGACUGCGGCCGAUCAGGCUGUUGGUGAGGUAAUGGCCCACCAAACCUGUAACCGGUACGGGCUCUGAGAGGAGGAGCCCGGAGAUGGGCACUGAGACAAGGGCCCAGGCCCUAUGGGGCGCAGCAGGCGCGAAACCUCUGCAAUAGGCGAAAGCUUGACAGGGUUACUCUGAGUGAUUUCCGUUAAGGAGAUCUUUUGGCACCUCUAAAAAUGGUGCAAAAUAAGGGGUGGGCAAGUCUGGUGU